CACGUAGGGGGCGAGCGUUGUCCGGAUUUAUUGGGCGUAAAGCGCUCGUAGGCGGCUCCGUAAGUCGGGUGUGAAAACUCCAGGCUCAACCUGGAGACGCCACCCGAUACUGCUGUGGCUAGAGUCCGGUAGGGGAGCAUGGAAUUCCUGGUGUAGCGGUGAAAUGCGCAGAUAUCAGGAGGAACACCAGUGGCGAAGGCGGUGCUCUGGGCCGGAACUGACGCUGAGGAGCGAAAGCGUGGGGAGCAAACAGG
rnacentral:rRNA from 1 species